AUUCAGAUAACGAGUCCCAAACAGAACGAAACGGGCGUUCUAGAU
rfam:Schistosoma haematobium scaffold1059_23, whole genome shotgun sequence.